rnacentral:lncRNA from 1 species
GCUAAUGAGGUUAUUCUGGAGGUCAUGAGAUGAAAGCUAGUGUGGUUAUUCUGGAGGUCAGUAGAUGAAAGCUUGUGUGGUUAUUCUGGAGGUCAGUAUAUGAAAGCUUGUGAGGUUAUUCUGGAGGUCAUGAGAUGAAAGCUAGUGUGGUUAUUCUGGAGGUCAGUAGAUGAAAGCUUGUGUGGUUAUUCUGGAGGUCUGUAGAUGAAAGCUUGUGUGGUUAUUCUGGAGGUCAGUAGAUGGAAGCUAGUGUGGUUAUUCUGGAGGUCAGUAGAUGAAAGCUUGUGUGGUUAUUCUGGAGGUCAGUGGAUGGAAGCUAGUGUGGUUGUUCUGGAGGUCAGUAGAUGGAAGAUAGUGUGGUUAUUCUGGAGGUCAGUAGAUGGAAGAUAGUGUGGUUAUUCUGGAGGUCUGUAGAUGAAAGCUUGUGUGGUUAUUCUGGAGGUCAGUGGAUGGAAGCUAAGACACAUGUCACCAGAAUCCAUGUGUGGACCCCUUUAUGUACAAAAUAUAACACAAUGCUACAAUUUCAGUGUUUCAAUGUCCUGCCUGUUCAACCACAUGAAUCAGUCUGAAUAUUUACCGGGAUUGUCAACUAGUAA